AAAACACAGGCUUACUUUGGAGACUUCUAACUUACUCCACAACUCGGUACUAGGAGCCCAAAGUCCACCUGAGUACACGGUACUGGAGGGCCUCCAGCACCACACCUCGCGCACAGAAAUUCUUUAGAAUUGAGUUGACCCUGAACCACAUGGAUCUGACCUGCAUGGAUCCACCUAUAUGCAGAUUUUUUUUCAAUAAAUACAGUACUAAC
rnacentral:lncRNA from 12 species